GGAGGAGGCAGUGGGCCAGAGGCCAGCAGCAGGGUUGGACAUGGAGGGUCUUCACAGCAGAAAGAGCAGGUGAGAGAGGAGACGGUGGACCAGAGGGCAGUAGGGAGGAUUGUGCAGGGACACAGGCAGCACAGGGAGAUGGUCAGGUGUCAGGGGAGAGACCAGGCUGCAGCACUGACAGGCAGGGAGAAGCUCC